UAACAGUACACUUAGACAUGUUGCCGGA
rnacentral:piRNA from 1 species